UGCCGAGUGGUGUAACGGUAGCACGCCUGACUCUGGAUCAGGUAAUCCCGGUUCGAAUCCAGGCUCGGCAGCCA
rnacentral:tRNA from 1 species